UCUCAGUUAGUAUAGUGGUCAGUAUCUCCGCCUGUCAGCGUCCUUGGUUGCUGCGCAGUCCGCGGAAGACCCGGGUUCGAUUCCCGGACUGAGAG